AAGUUUAAGUAUGCGCCUAACGUUAGCUAACGUUAGCUAACGUCUUUCGUCAGUUACACCAGUUAAACCAGCAGGUGUCAGCUGUUUGCUAAACGUUACUAGCAUUGUUGUAGUGUUUUAGGAAUAAAUGUAGUCUUAAAUUGUACAGUAAUUAGUAAGCGAAUAUUAGGAAUUACACUAGUUUAUCUUAAUAUGCUACUCAUCUGACAAAAACGACUUAAUAAGUAUAUCCAAAUGUAUUUCCUGUGUUGCUCAGGAGAUGCAAUAGUAUCCAGAAACAAUAGCUUUCCGGUUGUCAAGCCUGAGGAAAAAAUGAAUGGCGCCAGCGACAUUUUCAAGCUGUCAGAGAUCACUUUACACUAUAAAUGCGCAGAAAUUGAGGGAUAUAUUGCAAAGCUACAUCUGAUCAACUUCUCCUCGUCCAUAAACUUUGCCCCACAAAAUCCACGCCUCAAUGCUUAGGUCUAAGAUGCCUCUUAUGAAAACAGAACUGUUAGAAAUUGUAAUAAAUAAACAAGAUAUUAAAGUUAAGAAGCAUGGGAUUCUGUACCUGAUAUGAUCACUACAUAAGCGGAAUCCGUUGCAUGUGUGUUUCCAUCACUACGUUUUCUUCCGCUCGCUUUAAGCACGUUUUAUAGCAGUAAUCCAUUUCGGUCGUCUUUCAGGAUCUUUGUUCUCCCUCUGUUUGUCCCCGUUUAUUCUGGCAUUGAUGUGUUUCGACUGCCGCAUGCCGGGAUUGCAUGGCGUCAACUGUCGGAGUUCUAUAAGCAAUGGGAAGGCGUAAGUUGUCUCCAGGAAGUAGUCUGAACCACACAGGCCUCAGGAGGGUACACCCAACGCGGCUUUUCCCCCCCCUGAGAUGUGGAGUCCCUUGGACAGACCAGUACUUUCCAGUCCAGUUUUCUGAGUGCAGCAGCACAGUACAACAGGCAACUACUCAUCUAAUGUGCCCCAGUGCAAAACUGAACCUCUCCACCAGCUCAGGGGUGGGUCCUCCUUUGGGUGACUGUGACCACUGACCUCUGACCUUCCUGUCGAGGAUGUGCUGUCAUCUCAACUAAAGGGAUAAAAAUAUGCCUUGAAAGGACGAGCGUUUCUGUGAGAUGAAUGGAGCGAGAGACAGAGAUGCAAAGUGUGGGGGGAGAUGUUUUCCUGGCAGGCCGGGAUUAGAUGCGGUUCCAUAAAUAUGUUGGGCAGCUUGGUAUGCUUUGUGCCCAGUGGUAAAAAUAGGCCCUCUUCCCAAGGGAAGUGAUGACGUCUGCAGCCUGCCUGCAUCACCAGCCACAAGCCGGCUUCAUCCUCAUACUGGAAGAGGCAGAGAGACAAAGUGUGGGGGAAGCAUCAGUGAUCACCAUGGCAACACAUGCAGAGUGACGCAGUGGGAGGUAGCUGGACUACCCAGAGAGAGCCCACGCAGAGAGAGAGAACAUGCAGACUCCACACAGAAAAGCCCCAGAACCUUCUUGCUGUGAGGCAACAGUGCUAACCAUUGCACCGCCGUGCCACCCGCCAAAUUUAAGUAUGAAAAUUUACUUGUAAACACUGACUGUAGAUACACAGACGAAAAAGGCAAUCAUUCACUUUAAACCACAUAUUGGUUCUCCAAUUAUUACAAUAUCCAUUAUUAUUAAAUUUGUGUUUAUGUUUAGACCCAACCUUCCCGCAGGAAUUAAUAAAAUUGAAUUGAAUGCAUUUUUAAACAAAUCAUUUAGUCUGUAUAUUUGAAAUUUACUUAAAACACAGAGCUACAUUAGAACUACUUUUAGUAGUUUAUCAGUAGUAAUAUCUAUUAGAUAAUUUACUCUUUGUAUGUAAUUCACAACACAAUGGAAUUACUGAACAAAAAAAUACACCCUCAUUGUCAAGCUUAGGUAUUCUAAAGGUAGCAUGUUGAAAAAUGACAGCAAUUAAAUGACAGUUUGACAUCAUGAGAUGAACUUUGAAGUGAGCCAAUAAGGAAGCAGGUGCCAAUAACCAUAAUUAGUUAUGAACAUUUUAUCAUCAAAUCUUACCACUAGAAAAUAAGGUUUCAGGAGAGAGUGUUGUAACAACAAUACAAUACAACAAUACUGCCACCCAGUGGCCACCAUUGAGGACAACUGUGGAUGUCAGAAGUAAUUGUAAAAUCUACUGUAAAAAGACAUUUUUUUGUUUGUUUGAUUGAUUGUUUUUUACAAGCUUAAUUGCACUUGAAUAUGUAUUGUUCUUUGUAAAAGUGGUCUAUA